CCUACGGGUGGCAGCAGUGAGGAAUAUUGGUCAAUGGACGAGAGUCUGAACCAGCCAAGUAGCGUGAAGGAUGACUGCCCUAUGGGUUGUAAACUUCUUUUAUAUGGGAAUAAAAUGUUCCACGUGUGGGAUUUUGUAUGUACCAUAUGAAUAAAGAUCGGCUAACUCCGUGCCAGCAGCCGCGGUAAUACGGAGGAUCCGAGCGUUAUCCGGAUUUAUUGGGUUUAAAGGGAGCGUAGGUGGAUUGUUAAGUCAGUUGUGAAAGUUUGCGGCUCAACCGUAAAAUUGCAGUUGAAACUGGCAGUCUUGAGUACAGUAGAGGUGGGCGGAAUUCGUGGUGUAGCGGUGAAAUGCUUAGAUAUCACGAAGAACACCGAUUGCGAAGGCAGUUCACUGGACUGCAACUGACACUGAGGCUCGAAAGUGUGGGUAUCAAACAGGAUUAGAUACCCGUGUAGUC
rnacentral:rRNA from 1 species